UGCAAGUCGAACGAACUCUGGUAUUGAUUGGUGCUUGCAUCAUGAUUUACAUUUGAGUGAGUGGCGAACUGGUGAGUAACACGUGGGAAACCUGCCCAGAAGCGGGGGAUAACACCUGGAAACAGAUGCUAAUACCGCAUAACAACUUGGACCGCAUGGUCCGAGCUUGAAAGAUGGCUUCGGCUAUCACUUUUGGAUGGUCCCGCGGCGUAUUAGCUAGAUGGUGGGGUAACGGCUCACCAUGGCAAUGAUACGUAGCCGACCUGAGAGGGUAAUCGGCCACAUUGGGACUGAGACACGGCCCAAACUCCUACGGGAGGCAGCAGUAGGGAAUCUUCCACAAUGGACGAAAGUCUGAUGGAGCAACGCCGCGUGAGUGAAGAAGGGUUUCGGCUCGUAAAACUCUGUUGUUAAAGAAGAACAUAUCUGAGAGUAACUGUUCAGGUAUUGACGGUAUUUAACCAGAAAGCCACGGCUAACUACGUGCCAGCAGCCGCGGUAAUACGUAGGUGGCAAGCGUUGUCCGGAUUUAUUGGGCGUAAAGCGAGCGCAGGCGGUUUUUUAAGUCUGAUGUGAAAGCCUUCGGCUCAACCGAAGAAGUGCAUCGGAAACUGGGAAACUUGAGUGCAGAAGAGGACAGUGGAACUCCAUGUGUAGCGGUGAAAUGCGUAGAUAUAUGGAAGAACACCAGUGGCGAAGGCGGCUGUCUGGUCUGUAACUGACGCUGAGGCUCGAAAGUAUGGGUAGCAAACAGGAUUAGAUACCCUGGUAGUCCAUACCGUAAACGAUGAAUGCUAAGUGUUGGAGGGUUUCCGCCCUUCAGUGCUGCAGCUAACGCAUUAAGCAUUCCGCCUGGGGAGUACGGCCGCAAGGCUGAAACUCAAAGGAAUUGACGGGGGCCCGCACAAGCGGUGGAGCAUGUGGUUUAAUUCGAAGCUACGCGAAGAACCUUACCAGGUCUUGACAUACUAUGCAAAUCUAAGAGAUUAGACGUUCCCUUCGGGGACAUGGAUACAGGUGGUGCAUGGUUGUCGUCAGCUCGUGUCGUGAGAUGUUGGGUUAAGUCCCGCAACGAGCGCAACCCUUAUUAUCAGUUGCCAGCAUUAAGUUGGGCACUCUGGUGAGACUGCCGGUGACAAACCGGAGGAAGGUGGGGAUGACGUCAAAUCAUCAUGCCCCUUAUGACCUGGGCUACACACGUGCUACAAUGGAUGGUACAACGAGUUGCGAACUCGCGAGAGUAAGCUAAUCUCUUAAAGCCAUUCUCAGUUCGGAUUGUAGGCUGCAACUCGCCUACAUGAAGUCGGAAUCGCUAGUAAUCGCGGAUCAGCAUGCCGCGGUGAAUACGUUCCCGGGCCUUGUACACACCGCCCGUCACACCAUGAGAGUUUGUAACACCCAAAGUCGGUGGGGUAACCUUUUAGGAACCAGC
rnacentral:rRNA from 2 species